rnacentral:rRNA from 1 species
CAUGUAGGCGGACUAUCUAGUGUCUUGUGAAAUCCCUCGGCUUAACCGAGGAACUGCAGGGCAUACUGGUAGUCUUGAGACAAGUAGGGGUGCGUGGAACUCUGGGUGGAGCGGUGAAAUGCGUAGAUAUCCAGAGGAACGCCAGCGGAGAAAUCGGCGCACUGGGCUUGUUCUGACGCUGAGAUGCGAAAGCGUGGGGAGCGAACAGGAUUAGAUACCCUGGUAGUCC